rnacentral:rRNA from 1 species
UACGUAGGGGGCAAGCGUUGUCCGGAUUUAUUGGGCGUAAAGAGCGUGUAGGCGGCUUUACAGGUCCGUUGUGAAAACUCGAGGCUCAACCUCGAGACGCCGGUGGAAACCGUAAGGCUAGAGUCCGGAAGAGGAGAGUGGAAUUCCUGGUGUAGCAGUGAAAUGCGCAGAUAUCAGGAAGAACACCCGUGGCGAAGGCGGCUCUCUGGGACGGUACUGACGCUGAGACGCGAAAGCGUGGGGAGCGAACAGG